rnacentral:rRNA from 1 species
UACGUAGGGUGCAAGCGUUGUCCGGAAUUAUUGGGCGUAAAGAGCUCGUAGGCGGUGUGUCGCGUCGGCCGUGAAAACCUGCAGCUUAACUGUGGGCUUGCGGUCGAUACGGGCAUCACUGGAGUUCGGUAGGGGAGACUGGAAUUCCUGGUGUAGCGGUGAAAUGCGCAGAUAUCAGGAGGAACACCGGUGGCGAAGGCGGGUCUCUGGGCCGAUACUGACGCUGAGGAGCGAAAGCGUGGGGAGCGAACAGG